AUUGCUUGACUACAUGCAAAAGCUUUUCCUUCAGCUGGAUUGAAUAAUGAUCUUUAUUUUCAGACUUACACUUAAUGUUUGCGAGGCCAAGGUGAAGAACUGGUUAAGCUUAAGCUUGGUUGAUUUUGUUAAGGUGAAGAACUGGUUAAGCUUAAGCUUGGUUGAUUUUGUUAAGGUGAAGAACUGGUUAAGCUUAAGCUUGGUUGAUUUUGUCAAGGUGAAAGAACUGGUUAAGCUUGGUUGAUUUUGUCAGAAAAGAAAGUAGGUUACACUGGUUCAUUGAUUAGUAAACUUCCAAUGUUGGUAAAGCUUAGCUAAUGCCAUACCCACGAGAUCCAAAGCCAUACCCACCAGAUCCCAUAGUGACUUGGCUUUCGGGGUGGUUCUCCGUGGACAAUGCCAUACCCACCCCACUACGUAGUAAUUAUAUCAAUCAUGUACGUGUCAUCCCUCCAUUCUGAUUGGUAUAUCAUGAAAAAAUCAAGCCAU